UCUCCGUUGGUGAACCAGCGAAGGGAUCAUUACCGAGUUUACAACUCCCAAACCCAAUGUGAACCAUACCAAACUGUUGCCUCGGCGGGGUCACGCCCCGGGUGCGUCGCAGCCCCGGAACCAGGCGCCCGCCGGAGGGACCAACCAAACUCUUUCUGUAGUCCCCUCGCGGACGUUAUUUUUACAGCUCUGAGCAAAAAUUCAAAAUGAAUCAAAACUUUCAACAACGGAUCUCUUGGUUCUG
rnacentral:misc_RNA from 1 species